UUUUAUUUUGUGUGUUUUGAGCUUCUUUAAUACUGUCAAGUCUAUUCAAAAACCCUUUAAUGAACACAACAAAUGUGGAAAAUCAGUCAUUCUCCUGCAUUUUGUAAUCAAUUUAUUUCCUUUUGGGCAGUAUGGAAAUGUAGGUUCUUAUUUCAUCUUAUGGUUGGAAAGAAUCUAUUCCCUCGGAAAAGGAUUAUAGUCUCCAUGAUGCAGUAAUGGGAGAUUUUAUAGGGUAGGCAGGGUCUACAGAAGAAAAAACCCUAAAUCACACUCCAUUGGUGGUUGCCUUAUUUAUAAAAAUGGCAUUUGAGGUUGCGUGACUGCCAUCAGCCUAGCCCUGUGGUCUUGGGCUAAUCACUAACCUGCUUAGAUACAAUUUUCUUCUCUAUAUAAUAGAAACAAUAUUAUAUGCUAUGAAGGACUGCAGGAAGAUGAGCUGUAAUGUUUAUCAAGUGCCUAGUAAGUAGCCUGGCCCAUAAUAAAUACUUGGCUAAUUGUAGAUGUUAGUUUCAUUUUUAGUUUUAUUUCCAAACAUUGCUCUUUACUUUUGGAACUCUAAAAUUUGUUUUGAGAGUGGAGGACUUGUUGUUUGGAUUCCUCCAAUACUCUCUGUAUAUUCUGUACUUCUAUCCCUACAUCAUUUAUAUUAAUGGAAUAAAUGAUCUUUGGUCUGGUGAUUCCAAGGUGACGAGGAGCUAAGUGGAGGUUCACUAUACACCUGGAAGUAUGGAUUUUCAUGCCCAGUGCAAAUGUGGGAAAGGCAUUAUUCCCACAUUAUAAAGGGGGUAAAGACCUCCAACUUGAGGAGACUCUGGGUUGAGAGAUGAGAGAUUUACAGGUACUGUGUUUAUCCUACAGGGUACCACAGGGGCUUUUAUGUUCUGUAGCAAGAAUUUGCACCUUAUACCCUUGUAGUUAGAAGUAAAACAUACCACAUAACAUAUCUAGUAAGCAUUAGAGUUAGAAUAAAUACCAUUUAUUUAACGUUUCCUUUGUGUUAAGCAUUUUACAGUUACAACAUAUGGAUGGAUACUAUAUUGUAAUGGUUAAGAGUGUAGUUUUUUGAGCUAGAUAAUCCUGGAUUGGAAUCUCAUCUUUAUUACCUCUUUUUUCCCUGUUUUAUCGAGGUAUAAUUGACAAAAUUGUAAGAUAGUCAAAGAGUAUAUCAUGAUGAUUUGAUAUACAUAUGCAUUGCAGAAGGAUCCUUCCCAUCACGUUAAUUAAUACAUCUAACAGCUCAUGACACUUUUUCCUUUUUUUCUUGUUUUGGUGAGAACACUUAAGUUCUAUUCUCUCAGAAAAUGUUAGUUAUACAAUACAGUGUUAUUGACUGUAGUAACUAUGUUAUACAGUAGAUCCUCAGACCUUAUUCAUCCUGCAGCUGAAAGUUUGUACCCUUUUACCAGUCUUCCCCUCUUUUCCCCACCCACACCCCAGCCCCUGGCAACCAGUUUUCUACUCUGUUUCUAUGAGUGUGGCUUUUUUUCUUUUUAGAUUCCAUAUAUAAAUGAUAUCAUUCGUAUU